rnacentral:rRNA from 1 species
CCUACGGGAGGCUGCAGUGGGGAAUUUUGGACAAUGGGGGCAACCCUGAUCCAGCCAUGCCGCGUGCGGGAAGAAGGCCUUCGGGUUGUAAACUGCUUUUGUCAGGGAAGAAAUCUUCCGAGCUAAUACCUUGGGAGGAUGACGGUACCUGAAGAAUAAGCACCGGCUAACUACGUGCCAGCAGCCGCGGUAAUACGUAGGGUGCAAGCGCUACUCGGAAUUUGUGCGCGUAAUGCGGGCGGAGGCGUGUGAAAUCCCCGGGCUUAACCUGGGAACUGCACUUGUGACUGUACGGCUGGAGUACGGCAGAGGGGGAUGGAAUUCCGCGUGUAGCAGUGAAAUGCGUAGAUAUGCGGAGGAACACCGAUGGCGAAGGCAGUCCCCUGGGCCUGUACUGACGCUCAUGCACGAAAGCGUGGGGAGCAAACAGGAUUAGAUACCCCUGUAGUC